AGUAGCUUGCUACUGGACCUAGCGGCGGACGGGUGAGUAAUGCUUAGGAAUCUGCCUAUUAGUGGGGGACAACAUCUCGAAAGGGAUGCUAAUACCGCAUACGUCCUACGGGAGAAAGCAGGGGACCUUCGGGCCUUGCGCUAAUAGAUGAGCCUAAGUCGGAUUAGCUAGUUGGUGGGGUAAAGGCCUACCAAGGCGACGAUCUGUAGCGGGUCUGAGAGGAUGAUCCGCCACACUGGGACUGAGACACGGCCCAGACUCCUACGGGAGGCAGCAGUGGGGAAUAUUGGACAAUGGGGGGAACCCUGAUCCAGCCAUGCCGCGUGUGUGAAGAAGGCCUUUUGGUUGUAAAGCACUUUAAGCGAGGAGGAGGCUACCGAGAUUAAUACUCUUGGAUAGAGGACGUUACUCGCAGAAUAAGCACCGGCUAACUCUGUGCCAGCAGCCGCGGUAAUACAGAGGGUGCAAGCGUUAAUCGGAUUUACUGGGCGUAAAGCGCGCGUAGGUGGCCAAUUAAGUCAAAUGUGAAAUCCCCGAGCUUAACUUGGGAAUUGCAUUCGAUACUGGUUGGCUAGAGUAUGGGAGAGGAUGGUAGAAUUCCAGGUGUAGCGGUGAAAUGCAUAGAGAUCUGGAGGAAUACCGAUGGCGAAGGCAGCCAUCUGGCCUAAUACUGACACUGAGGUGCGAAAGCAUGGGGAGCAAACAGGAUUAGAUACCCUGGUAGUCCAUGCCGUAAACGAUGUCUACUAGCCGUUGGGGCCUUUGAGGCUUUAGUGGCGCAGCUAACGCGAUAAGUAGACCGCCUGGGGAGUACGGUCGCAAGACUAAAACUCAAAUGAAUUGACGGGGGCCCGCACAAGCGGUGGAGCAUGUGGUUUAAUUCGAUGCAACGCGAAGAACCUUACCUGUCUUGACAUAGU
rnacentral:rRNA from 1 species